rnacentral:rRNA from 1 species
GACGAACGCUGGCGGCGUGCCUAAUACAUGCAAGUUGAGCGAUGAAGAUUGGUGCUUGCACCAAUUUGAAGAGCAGCGAACGGGUGAGUAACGCGUGGGGAAUCUGCCUUUGAGCGGGGGACAACAUUUGGAAACGAAUGCUAAUACCGCAUAACAACUUUAAACAUAAGUUUUAAGUUUGAAAGAUGCAAUUGCAUCACUCAAAGAUGAUCCCGCGUUGUAUUAGCUAGUUGGUGAGGUAAAGGCUCACCAAGGCGAUGAUACAUAGCCGACCUGAGAGGGUGAUCGGCCACAUUGGGACUGAGACACGGCCCAAACUCCUACGGGGGGCAGCAGUAGGGAAUCUUCGGCAAUGGACGAAAGUCUGACCGAGCAACGCCGCGUGAGUGAAGAAGGUUUUCGGAUCGUAAAACUCUGUUGGUAGAGAAGAACGUUGGUGAGAGUGGAAAGCUCAUCAAGUGACGGUAACGACCCAGAAAGGGACGGCUAACUACGU